rnacentral:rRNA from 1 species
AUUGAACGCUGGCGGCAGGCCUAACACAUGCAAGUCGAACGAGUGGCGGACGGGUGAGUAAUGUCUGGGAAACUGCCUAGUGGAGGGGGAUAACUACUGGAAACGGUAGCUAAUACCGCAUACCAUCGGAUGUGCCCAGAUGGGAUUAGCUAGUAGGUGGGGUAAAGGCUCACCAAGGCGACGAUCCCUAGCUGGUCUGAGAGGAUGACCAGCCACACUGGGACUGAGACACGGCCCAGACUCCUACGGGAGGCAGCAGUGGGGAAUAUUGGACAAUGGGGGAAAGCCUGAUGCAGCCAUGCCGCGUGUAUGAAGAAGGCCUUCGGGUUGUAAAGUACUUUCAGCGGGGAAGCGGUACCCGCAGAAGAAGCACCGGCUAACUACGUGCCAGCAGCCGCGGUAAUUC